CUCUCCGCCUCCUCUCCUCCCUUUCGGCUGAAUGCGCACGCGCGGCAAGAGCUGCGCGCGCAUUCAGCCAGUCUCAUAGGAAAGCAUUCAUAAUGCUUUCCUAUGGACACUUGCGUGUUCUCACUGUGAUUUUCACAGUGAGAAUCACGCAAGCGCCUCUAGCUGCUGUCAAUGAGACACCCACUAGAGGAUUUGGAGGCUGGAUUAACCCUAACACAAACAUAGCAGUUUCUCUGAAACUGCUAUGUUUAUUAAAAAAAGGAUAAAUCCUAGCUGGACCUGGCACCCAGACCACUUCAUU